CACCCGUUUUUUUUCUUCUGGCACAUGAACAGUGUCAUUUGGGGGCAAGAGAAAGGAAUGUGAGGUGUUUAUUGCAUUUGAUAUAUAUGUUAUAUAUACUCUUUGUAACCACGGUUGUCAUUACUGUUAAUACUACUGUUUAUCCCCCUG